UUAAGCGACUAAGCGUACACGGUGGAUGCCCUGGCAGUCAGAGGCGAUGAAGGACGUGCUAAUCUGCGAUAAGCGUCGGUAAGGUGAUAUGAACCGUUAUAACCGGCGAUUUCCGAAUGGGGAAACCCAGUGUGAUUCGUCACACUAUCAUUAACUGAAUCCAUAGGUUAAUGAGGCGAACCGGGGGAACUGAAACAUCUAAGUACCCCGAGGAAAAGAAAUCAACCGAGAUUCCCCCAGUAGCGGCGAGCGAACGGGGAGCAGCCCAGAGCCUGAAUCAGUGUGUGUGUUAGUGGAAGCGUCUGGAAAGGCGUGCGAUACAGGGUGACAGCCCCGUACACAAAAAUGCACAUACUGUGAGCUCGAUGAGUAGGGCGGGACACGUGGUAUCCUGUCUGAAUAUGGGGGGACCAUCCUCCAAGGCUAAAUACUCCUGACUGACCGAUAGUGAACCAGUACCGUGAGGGAAAGGCGAAAAGAACCCCGGCGAGGGAGUGAAAAAGAACCUGAAACCGUGUACGUACAAGCAGUGGGAGCACGCUUAGGCGUGUGACUGCGUACCUUUUGUAUAAUGGGUCAGCGACUUAUAUUCUGUAGCAAGGUUAACCGAAUAGGGGAGCCGAAGGGAAACCGAGUCUUAACUGGGCGUUAAGUUGCAGGGUAUAGACCCGAAACCCGGUGAUCUAGCCAUGGGCAGGUUGAAGGUUGGGUAACACUAACUGGAGGACCGAACCGACUAAUGUUGAAAAAUUAGCGGAUGACUUGUGGCUGGGGGUGAAAGGCCAAUCAAACCGGGAGAUAGCUGGUUCUCCCCGAAAGCUAUUUAGGUAGCGCCUCGUGAAUUCAUCUCCGGGGGUAGAGCACUGUUUCGGCAAGGGGGUCAUCCCGACUUACCAACCCGAUGCAAACUGCGAAUACCGGAGAAUGUUAUCACGGGAGACACACGGCGGGUGCUAACGUCCGUCGUGAAGAGGGAAACAACCCAGACCGCCAGCUAAGGUCCCAAAGUCAUGGUUAAGUGGGAAACGAUGUGGGAAGGCCCAGACAGCCAGGAUGUUGGCUUAGAAGCAGCCAUCAUUUAAAGAAAGCGUAAUAGCUCACUGGUCGAGUCGGCCUGCGCGGAAGAUGUAACGGGGCUAAACCAUGCACCGAAGCUGCGGCAGCGACGCUUAUGCGUUGUUGGGUAGGGGAGCGUUCUGUAAGCCUGUGAAGGUGUACUGUGAGGUAUGCUGGAGGUAUCAGAAGUGCGAAUGCUGACAUAAGUAACGAUAAAGCGGGUGAAAAGCCCGCUCGCCGGAAGACCAAGGGUUCCUGUCCAACGUUAAUCGGGGCAGGGUGAGUCGACCCCUAAGGCGAGGCCGAAAGGCGUAGUCGAUGGGAAACAGGUUAAUAUUCCUGUACUUGGUGUUACUGCGAAGGGGGGACGAGAAGGCUAUGUUGGCCGGGCGACGGUUGUCCCGGUUUAAGCGUGUAGGCUGGUUUUCCAGGCAAAUCCGGAAAAUCAAGGCCGAGGCGUGAUGACGAGGCACUACGGUGCUGAAGCAACAAAUGCCCUGCUUCCAGGAAAAGCCUCUAAGCAUCAGGUAACAUCAAAUCGUACCCCAAACCGACACAGGUGGUCAGGUAGAGAAUACCAAGGCGCUUGAGAGAACUCGGGUGAAGGAACUAGGCAAAAUGGUGCCGUAACUUCGGGAGAAGGCACGCUGAUACGUAGGUGAAGCGACUUGCUCGUGGAGCUGAAAUCAGUCGAAGAUACCAGCUGGCUGCAACUGUUUAUUAAAAACACAGCACUGUGCAAACACGAAAGUGGACGUAUACGGUGUGACGCCUGCCCGGUGCCGGAAGGUUAAUUGAUGGGGUUAGCGCAAGCGAAGCUCUUGAUCGAAGCCCCGGUAAACGGCGGCCGUAACUAUAACGGUCCUAAGGUAGCGAAAUUCCUUGUCGGGUAAGUUCCGACCUGCACGAAUGGCGUAAUGAUGGCCAGGCUGUCUCCACCCGAGACUCAGUGAAAUUGAACUCGCUGUGAAGAUGCAGUGUACCCGCGGCAAGACGGAAAGACCCCGUGAACCUUUACUAUAGCUUGACACUGAACAUUGAGCCUUGAUGUGUAGGAUAGGUGGGAGGCUUUGAAGUGUGGACGCCAGUCUGCAUGGAGCCGACCUUGAAAUACCACCCUUUAAUGUUUGAUGUUCUAACGUGGACCCGUAAUCCGGGUUGCGGACAGUGUCUGGUGGGUAGUUUGACUGGGGCGGUCUCCUCCUAAAGAGUAACGGAGGAGCACGAAGGUUGGCUAAUCCUGGUCGGACAUCAGGAGGUUAGUGCAAUGGCAUAAGCCAGCUUGACUGCGAGCGUGACGGCGCGAGCAGGUGCGAAAGCAGGUCAUAGUGAUCCGGUGGUUCUGAAUGGAAGGGCCAUCGCUCAACGGAUAAAAGGUACUCCGGGGAUAACAGGCUGAUACCGCCCAAGAGUUCAUAUCGACGGCGGUGUUUGGCACCUCGAUGUCGGCUCAUCACAUCCUGGGGCUGAAGUAGGUCCCAAGGGUAUGGCUGUUCGCCAUUUAAAGUGGUACGCGAGCUGGGUUUAGAACGUCGUGAGACAGUUCGGUCCCUAUCUGCCGUGGGCGCUGGAGAACUGAGGGGGGCUGCUCCUAGUACGAGAGGACCGGAGUGGACGCAUCACUGGUGUUCGGGUUGUCAUGCCAAUGGCACUGCCCGGUAGCUAAAUGCGGAAGAGAUAAGUGCUGAAAGCAUCUAAGCACGAAACUUGCCCCGAGAUGAGUUCUCCCUGACCCUUUAAGGGUCCUGAAGGAACGUUGAAGACGACGACGUUGAUAGGCCGGGUGUGUAAGCGCAGCGAUGCGUUGAGCUAACCGGUACUAAUGAACCGUGAGGCUUAACCUU
rnacentral:rRNA from 1 species